GACGGAGGAUGCAAGCGUUAUCCGGAAUGAUUGGGCGUAAAGCGUCCGCAGGUGGCAGUUCAAGUCUGCUGUCAAAGACCGGGGCUUAACUUCGGAAAGGCAGUGGAAACUGAACAGCUAGAGUAUGGUAGGGGCAGAGGGAAUUCCUGGUGUAGCGGUGAAAUGCGCAGAUAUCAGGAGGAACACCGGUGGCGAAGGCGGCUCUCUGGACCGGUACUGACGCUGAGGCGCGAAAGCGUGGGGAGCAAACAGG
rnacentral:rRNA from 1 species